AACGCUGGCGGCGUGCUUAACACAUGCAAGUCGAACGGGAAUUACUUUAUGAAGUCAACUUCGGUUGGCGGAUGAGGUAGUUUAGUGGCGGACGGGUGAGUAACGCGUGAGCAACCUGCCCUUCGGAGGGGGACAACAGCUGGAAACGGCUGCUAAUACCGCAUAUUAUAUAUUGGUCGCAUGGCUGAUAUAUGAAAGAUUUAUCGCCGAAGGAUGGGCUCGCGUCUGAUUAGCUAGUUGGUGGGGUAAUGGCCCACCAAGGCGACGAUCAGUAGCCGGACUGAGAGGUUGACCGGCCACAUUGGGACUGAGAUACGGCCCAGACUCCUACGGGAGGCAGCAGUGGGGAAUAUUGGGCAAUGGGCGCAAGCCUGACCCAGCAACGCCGCGUGAAGGAAGAAGGCUUUCGGGUUGUAAACUUCUUUGACCAGGGAAGAAACAAAUGACGGUACCUGGAAAACAAGCCACGGCUAACUACGUGCCAGCAGCCGCGGUAAUACGUAGGUGGCAAGCGUUAUCCGGAUUUACUGGGUGUAAAGGGCGUGUAAGCGGGCGUUCAAUUCAGAUGUUAAAACUAUGGGCUCAACCCAUAGCCUGCAUUUGAAACUGUGCGUCUUGAAUGAUGGAGAAGCAGGCGGAAUCCCUAGUUUUAGCCG
rnacentral:rRNA from 1 species